GCCGAAUGUGGGCUGAAUCGGUCAGGUAGCGGCAAUUACUACUUCAAUUACUACUUCGCCAACUACUACUUCACUCGGGACGCGCGCCGCGAGGUGAUGCCGCCGGUGCUGCUCGCCGAGAACACCGGCGCCGCGCUGCUCACCGCCAAAAAGAGCAAGAAGGAGAAGAAGAAAGAGAAGGAGGCGGCGGCGGCGGCGGCCGAGACCGAUGCGGGUGCCCAGGUGUCGACGGCAGCGGCGUCGGCAGUGCCGCGUCCCGGCCAGCCCUACGUCUGGGACGGCCGUGCCGAGGUUUGAUCGUCGACACCAACAGACGACGUCAGGGUGCGUGUACAUAGGGAGCUAGGAUACUAUUGUGGUCAAUACAGCUAUGUCGAUAGG
rnacentral:misc_RNA from 1 species